CAGGCCUUUCACAUUGAGCUGGAAGAGGGGAGAGCAAUUCUACAGAAGCUGUUGGCAAACAUCAAGCUGCAUGAAAGCUACAAAUGAAUAUUAAAUUCUGGUCUGGAUUUCCUGGCUGCUCCUUGCUCCCCUGUGCAGAACCCUGUGUCCCUUCUUGACCCUUUUAUGUAAAUCCAAAGCCUUCACUGGAGGAGAGACUGAGGAUGUGAAGGAGAAUUGAUUAAUAGGGGGGCCAAAUAUGAC